CGCAGCCAACGCGAUAAGUUGACCGCCUGGGGAGUACGGCCGCAAGGUUAAAACUCAAAUGAAUUGACGGGGGCCCGCACAAGCGGUGGAGCAUGUGGUCUAAUUCGAAGCAACGCGAAGAACCUUACCUACUCUUGACAUCCAGAGAACAUUCCAGAGAUGGGAUGGUGCCUUCGGGAACUCUGAGACAGGUGCUGCAUGGCUGUCGUCAGCUCGUGUUGUGAAAUGUUGGGUUAAGUCCCGUAACGAGCGCAACCCUUAUCCUUAUUUGCCAGCGAGUGAUGUCGGGAACUCUAAGGAGACUGCCGGUGACAAACCGGAGGAAGGUGGGGAUGACGUCAAGUCAUCAUGGCCCUUACGAGUAGGGCUACACACGUGCUACAAUGGCCGGUACAGAGGGUCGCGAACCCGCGAGGGAGAGCCAAUCUCAGAAAACCGGUCGUAGUCCGGAUCGCAGUCUGCAACUCGACUGCGUGAAGUCGGAAUCGCUAGUAAUCGCGAAUCAGAAUGUCGCGGUGAAUACGUUCCCGGGCCUUGUACACACCGCCCGUCACACCAUGGGAGUGGGUUGCACCAGAAGUGGCUAGUCUAACCUUCGGGGGGACGGUCACCACGGUGUGAUUCAUGACUGGGGUG
rnacentral:rRNA from 1 species